UUCGGAUUGCAGGCUGCAACCCGCCUGUAUGAAGUUGGAAUCGCUAGUAAUCGCGGAUCAGCAUGCCGCGGUGAAUACGUUCCCGGGCCUUGUACACACCGCCCGUCACACCAUGAGAGUCGGGAACACCCGAAGUCCGUAGCCUAACCGCAAGGGGGCGCGGCCGAAGGUGGGUUCGAUAAUUGGGGUGAAGUCGUAACAAGGUAUC
rnacentral:rRNA from 1 species